rnacentral:rRNA from 1 species
GACGAACCGUGCGACCGUUAUUCGGAAUCACUGGGCUUAAAGCGCGUGUAGGCGGAUGGGCACGUCGGUAGUUGAAAGCCCCCGGCUCAACCGGGGAAGUGGUGCCGAAACGACCCGUCUGGAGGGACGUAGGGGGACCUGGAACUUCCGGUGGAGCGGUGAAAUGCGUUGAGAUCGGAAGGAACGCCCGUGGCGAAAGCGAGGUCCUGGACGUCUACUGACGCUGAGACGCGAAAGCUAGGGGAGCAAACGGG